ensembl:lncRNA
UGUUUUAUUACACAUUUCCUUUGAAAUUUUCAAUGCAAUAAUGCAUUUUUAAUCUGCAUAAAAUGUUACAAUGGUAAUAUCUAUGCACACAAUAAUAUACACAAACAUGUAGGAGGUGUGUGUUCACAUUUUUGGAAAUGGACAGAACAAAGGGGAAGAAGCCUGCACCGCAAUAGUCAGGGCAGAGACAGGCCCCUCUAGGGCUGAAUUUGAGGUCAGCACCAAAUGUGUCCAAAGCUGAUCUGGGCCUUCUGCAGAAAAGAGGCUAAACUCAUGUACCCACCUGGCCUCACUUUCCUCCUGUCCUCUGUGAAAGGGACAGAGGAAUAAUGGUCCCUUACCUGCCACGUAGCAGCUGUGGCCCUUGGGCAAGUAAGUCCCUUUCCUGCUCUGAGCCUCCCACUUUCCCAAGGUUUUGAGCCACAGAGAGAGGCUAGACCUGAGGGGGACAUGGAGACACCACACAUUCCCAUGAAAAGCAGUGGGCAUCCGUCACCACCUCCCGCAGCAUGAAGUUAGCCCGUUUUCCAAACUGCCAUGAUCUAUUUCACAGCCCAGUGUAGUGGGGGAAGAACAGGACUGUGCUGGGGCUCCUGGCUGGAUGCCUGCUCUGCCUUUUGCUGCCAGCAAUGCCUUGGCCAGGACACAGCCCCUGUGUCCCCAAGCUUUCUCCUCUGUCAUAUGGGAACGAUGAUCUCAUAGGGUUAUGGGGAUGAUUAGAUGGGACAACAGCAAAGGUAUAGAAUUGUGCCCUGUGUAAGCAGUCAGCGGUGUAAUAGGUCAGGAGAGGGUGACCUUCAGGGCUCAGCAGUGAUCGGGAGAGGUGAUCACAAUUAGCAACUGGAGAGAGCCUCUAGGUCUUGGGAAACACUGGGUUUCGGCACAGGUGGUGGUUUCACAGGUAUUCAGUUUGAGACAACAUACACACCACAUGCUUAGAUACCCGGACUAGGUGCAUUAUUCCUUUCAGAAAGCGUUUUAGUUUUAGUUUUGUUUUGCGCAAGACAUGAGAAUUAGAAAACGAUCCUGGGAAAGGUUCAGGCCUCUGUAGGCUGAGAUGGGGCCCAGGACUAUGUCUCUGAGGAGGAAAGAGGAACCCAGUGAAUUUUGAAGAGCACAGGGGAGCAGAGGGAAAUUGCACUGUGUGUGCGUGUGUGCGUGUGUGUGUGAGCGCACACACUGCGGGGCUGGAGGAGGAAAUCAGCAAGGCCCAGAGAAGGGCAGAAGGAUCUUCAGGCCCGAAGGGCUGCUGCUGCACGUGGCUGGAUGGCAGCACAGCGGCCUGAGGUUCCUGGUUCAUUUUUGUCCCCUCUUCAUGCUCAUGGACUCUUGAUGACUGUCCAGAGCUCUGAGAUGCGGGCCCUGCAAGCUGGAACCAAGCAUGCUCUCUGCCCGUUUCUGAGGCAGUCGUUGGGACUGUGAGGCCGUGGACCCCUGCCAGGCUCGCCUGUCCCCGGGACAUUCAGGAUGCACUGCAGCCUCCUGUCUCCUGCAGGCACCUGCACAACCCUCCUUUUGAAGGUAAUUUCAGGAGUUGUUACAGCAACACCUGUGCACUGAGGCGGACGACAGGGCCACCACAGAGGUGACACUGUGUGCAGGGAGGGCAGAGGGGAGUCGCCUGUAGCUUUGCUUCCUGCACCCCCAGGGAGUUGCCACUCAUAGUGGGCUCCACCCUCCUCCCGCCAACACAUUCCCUAUCAUCCUCCAACAGUCACUGCCACCGUGCCCAGGGCCGUCCUCACCGCUGAGUCCUACACACACCAGGGACCAUCGGUCACCCCAUCACUUUGAGUUUCCUUCUGUCUGGGCCACAUCCAGAUUCUGGGAUGUUUUCCACACUCAACCUCACUUUGUCUUUGACGUGCUAUGGCCUAAAUGUCAGUGUCCCCCAGAUUUAUAUGUUGAAGCCUAAUUCCCAAUGGGGUAGAAAGAACAGGUGGGGCCUUUGGGAAUGCCCUGAAACCAGACGGACAUUCUCAAUAAUCUCCUCCUGAAGGAGGUUUAGUGCUCUCAUCAAACAGGCUCCAGCAACCUCCCUUGUCCCCUUCGGCCACAUGAGGACACAGCUGGAGGCACUGCCCUAAGGAAUGGGUCCUCACCAGGCACUAAAUCCUCAGGCAAUUGAUCUUGGACUUCUCAGCCUUCAGAACUUUGACAAUACAUUUCGGGCAUUAGUAACUCCCCGGGCUAAUGUACUUUGUUAAUGUACUUUCCCUUCUCACCUGACGUCACUUCCAGGAUCCGCCCCUCACAAAUAUUCACCCGUUGAAGGAAUGCUGUGGGUGAAGGGGCCAGGAGAGGCCCUGUAAACUGCUCACAGGCAAUCAGAGGUCCCUCAGAAUGGGGAGGACAGCAAGCACGACCAGAAUCUAUCAAUGAUGCACGACACACAGGACUCCAGCAGACCCUCACAGAAAAGGAUCAAAGAGGGGAGGCAGGAGAGGGUGAGAGCCUCCUGCCCAGAACAGAGCAGUGGCAGAGGAUGCAGGGAAAAGAGCCAACAAGAAGAAAGUGAGCCAGAAGAUGCAUCUCACAGGCCCAGAGUGGCUCUUGCUGUGUGCAGAGCCCAGGAACACCAGAAAUCAGAGCUGUGUAUACGGUCCAGAGGAUAUUGACACUCUGAAGAACGAGUCAGUCAUUGACCACAUCCUGCAUCACCAAACAGGGGCCUUUUCCAGAGUGAAGGCAAGGAGAGAACGUAUUCACCACCCAAGAAUGUAUUCACCACCGAGGUGAACACACAAGAUUUGUGGGACUGCCAGGCCCACCUUUUCUCACAGAGGAACAGGCUGAAGCCGCAUUCUGCAGGUUCCAGCAGGCUCCCAGGUUGGGGCUGUGAUCAAGAAUAGGAAGGUCACACUCAGGGUCGGAAAGGCCCAGAAAGCUAGGAAGUCCCUCCGUCAGCUACUGUGCCCCAGGACACCCCCGUCCACACAUCCCAGUGCCUCCUGCCCCAGGGAGAAGAGUCUCUGGGCCCAGGACCCGAGGUCUGCAGAGACUCAGGAGACACAGAGCCCUGGGGUUCACCACAAGCUUCAUCCAAGGGUAAAAUGCAAACCAGGAUGAGGCAUUUGAUUCAGGGUCCUCCUGCACUGAGAAGAAGGAAGGACAAGAAGAGCCAUGGCCAAAGCAGGGCGAGUCAGGAUGACGCACAGGCCGAGCUGCAGGCACAGCCACCUCCGUGGCCGUAACCCGGGGAUGCCAGGUUCCUCCGGCCACCACCUCCCAUACUCCCUAGCUGGCUUGGGAGGAGGCUUUCCAUCACUAUCCCAAAUUCUGCUCCAACAGUAGGCAUAUAGAGCUUCUGACUCUCUAGAAGCAACGUCUGCAUACACCGAGACAACUUGAAUGACCCCACGUAGCGCGGCUCUCUAGUGGCGCCCUCUGUCUGGCCUCAGCUGGACUUCUGUGUCUCUUCUAUCAGCCAUGCUGGCUGCCGUCGAGGCAGCGCCUGGGUUUAAGGGAUCCCAGGACUUUGUGCUCAGAGUGUGCAAGGCUCCACCUCACCCUUCCUGAGCGCCUGCCUGGGCUGCCCACACCCACCUGCACUGGGGAGGGGCAGAGGCGGCCACACCCAUCCACAUCUACCUCUUCCUCUGGGCCAACUGUUCACGGACCAAUCACUCAACAUACCACCCGUUCUUCAUACAUUUCCAAAAGAAGGAAUGAAGAACACGGUGGCAUGUCCAGAAGCCUUUUUCUUCUGGAGGAAAAACAAAACUUUGACCAACGACAUAGAUAAACCAAAUGUCUGCCCCGCUCCCUGACAAUCCUUCACUUUCUGCACCCGCGUGCAGAGGGGGACACGGACCAGGCCACUGAGGCUUCUGUGAAAACCAAUCUCUCAGUCACCCUGAAAGAUGGCUAAGAGCCAUGGAGCUUCCUAUUUCACCAAAUGUGGAGGGGACGUUUGGGGGUGGCGGGCCCUGCAUUCAGAUAGGAAAGAAGAAACAGGACCCACUGCUGGGAUCCAGGGCCAGCGGCCCCCAGGAGUCCCUGGGCACUCAGCUGGAGACGGCAGCCCCUGCAUUGCCACCCACGGUGCAGCAGUCUCCCUGCUGUUCCCUUCUGUCCAUCAGGACCCAUGGAACUGGGCACCCGGCUCUGCGGUAUGGAGAGCACACAGGAGGCCUGGCUCCUCCUCACCCCUGACUCCACAGAAAUGAGUCUCAACUCAAGGUCCACUUAAAGGUCUUGGCUUUCUUUCCUGUUCCAACUCCAGAGAGGGUGCAGAUGUCCACAGUGAGGGGAUGGUUACUUGACCACCAGGUGUGGAGCGGCCCUGGCCAGCUGCUGGGAACCCCGCAGACCGAGGCUGUGGCUGGUGCAGGGGAAAGUGAGAUCCUCUCCUCCUCUCUCCUGCCAAGAGUGGGCCAAGGAGAGAAAGGCCAGGGAAAGGUCCACUCACAAAACCGAGUGGGAAGGAGGGGUGACAGUCACAGCUUUCUACACGGAAUCCUGCAUGCCACAAGAAGUGUCCCCACUCCUCUUCAGGGCACCUACUUCCAUGCUGGGAACACAGUAUUAGACCUCGGCACGAGCCACAUGUCCCUGCCCACCCCUCACCCAGAAGGGAUCAGGAACAGGAAGGAGUUUCCAGUGCCAUGGACAAGCCCUGGGUGAGCACAGGAUUCGGGGUCCUGCUGUGGCGGGUCCGGGGCUGACCAGAGCAGGUCCUAGAAGCAGGCGAGGUGCUGUGCAGUCUGCAGCGUAACUCUGAACUUGACAAUGAGGUCUCCCCGCUGAGUGCAUACCUUGAGGAAGGGAAGCACCUUUCCAUGGAGUCUGCCAGGUUGCCCGCCAGUGGCAUUCGUGCCCAGCUAGAGGACCAGCCACCACCCCUGCUGGCCGCAAAUGUCCUUUCAGGCAAACACGGCACCUUGAGAAAAUGAGGCAGGGAGUGAGGGAAGGGUUUGGGUAGGAAAGUCACCGGCUGGGACUGACAAGGACGCUGAGGGUACAGUGGUUCCAUCUGAGCAGAAGUGUGUGCCAGGGCUUCUCUUGGAGCACGAAGACAACGCUGCAGGGAUGGCUUCUGGCUUGGAGACUCCCUUUUGGGAAAGUGACCUGUGGCUCCACGCAGCUGUUCUGCGUGCGAUGCUGCUGAAUCUCAUCCUUGUCCUUGGUGGGACCCCUUGUGCUCAGGGUGGAGGAGCACUCUGUGACCUCCCUGGACCAGGCAGCGCCACAGGAGAUCCCCUUCAGGCACUCCUGCACACAGAUCUGCCCCACCAUCUGCAGGAAGCAACAGCUGCGUGGAGCCACAGGUCACUUUCCCAAAAGGGAGUCUCCAAGCCAGAAGCCAUCCCUGCAGCGUUGUCUUCGUGCUCCAAGAGAAGCCCUGGCACACACUUCUGCUCAGAUGGAACCACUGUACCCUCAGCGUCCUUGUCAGUCCCAGCCGGUGACUUUCCUACCCAAACCCUUCCCUCACUCCCUGCCUCAUUUUCUCAAGGUGCCGUGUUUGCCUGAAAGGACAUUUGCGGCCAGCAGGGGUGGUGGCUGGUCCUCUAGCUGGGCACGAAUGCCACUGGCGGGCAACCUGGCAGACUCCAUGGAAAGGUGCUUCCCUUCCUCAAGGUAUGCACUCAGCGGGGAGACCUCAUUGUCAAGUUCAGAGUUACGCUGCAGACUGCACAGCACCUCGCCUGCUUCUAGGACCUGCUCUGGUCAGCCCCGGACCCGCCACAGCAGGACCCCGAAUCCUGUGCUCACCCAGGGCUUGUCCAUGGCACUGGAAACUCCUUCCUGUUCCUGAUCCCUUCUGGGCGAGGGGUGGGCAGGGACAUGUGGCUCGUGCCGAGGUCUAAUACUGUGUUCCCAGCAUGGAAGUAGGUGCCCUGAAGAGGAGUGGGGACACUUCUUGUGGCAUGCAGGAUUCCGUGUAGAAAGCUGUGACUGUCACCCCUCCUUCCCACUCGGUUUUGUGAGUGGACCUUUCCCUGGCCUUUCUCUCCUUGGCCCACUCUUGGCAGGAGAGAGGAGGAGAGGAUCUCACUUUCCCCUGCACCAGCCACAGCCUCGGUCUGCGGGGUUCCCAGCAGCUGGCCAGGGCCGCUCCACACCUGGUGGUCAAGUAACCAUCCCCUCACUGUGGACAUCUGCACCCUCUCUGGAGUUGGAACAGGAAAGAAAGCCAAGACCUUUAAGUGGACCUUGAGUUGAGACUCAUUUCUGUGGAGUCAGGGGUGAGGAGGAGCCAGGCCUCCUGUGUGCUCUCCAUACCGCAGAGCCGGGUGCCCAGUUCCAUGGGUCCUGAUGGACAGAAGGGAACAGCAGGGAGACUGCUGCACCGUGGGUGGCAAUGCAGGGGCUGCCGUCUCCAGCUGAGUGCCCAGGGACUCCUGGGGGCCGCUGGCCCUGGAUCCCAGCAGUGGGUCCUGUUUCUUCUUUCCUAUCUGAAUGCAGGGCCCGCCACCCCCAAACGUCCCCUCCACAUUUGGUGAAAUAGGAAGCUCCAUGGCUCUUAGCCAUCUUUCAGGGUGACUGAGAGAUUGGUUUUCACAGAAGCCUCAGUGGCCUGGUCCGUGUCCCCCUCUGCACGCGGCUGCAGAAAGUGAAGGAUUGUCAGGGAGCGGGGCAGACAUUUGGUUUAUCUAUGUCGUUGGUCAAAGUUUUGUUUUUCCUCCAGAAGAAAAAGGCUUCUGGACAUGCCACCGUGUUCUUCAUUCCUUCUUUUGGAAAUGUAUGAAGAACGGGUGGUAUGUUGAGUGAUUGGUCCGUGAACAGUUGGCCCAGAGGAAGAGGUAGAUGUGGAUGGGUGUGGCCGCCUCUGCCCCUCCCCAGUGCAGGUGGGUGUGGGCAGCCCAGGCAGGCGCUCAGGAAGGGUGAGGUGGAGCCUUGCACACUCUGAGCACAAAGUCCUGGGAUCCCUUAAACCCAGGCACUGCCUCGACGGCAGCCAGCAUGGCUGAUAGAAGAGACACAGAAGUCCAGCUGGGGCCAGACAGAGGGCGCCACUAGAGAGCCGCGCUACGUGGGGGUCAUUCAAGUUGUCUCGGUGUAUGCAGACGUUGCUUCUAGAGAGUCAGAAGCUCUAUAUGCCUACUGUUGGAGCAGAAUUUCGGGAUAGUGAUGGAAAGCCUCCUCCCAAGCCAGCUAGGGAGUAUGGGGAGGUGGUGGCCGGAGGAACCUGGCAUCCCCGGGUUACGGCCACGGAGGUGGCUGUGCCUGCAGCUCGGCCUGUGCGUCAUCCUGACUCGCCCUGCUUUGGCCAUGGCUCUUCUUGUCCUUCCUUCUUCUCAGUGCAGGAGGACCCUGAAUCAAAUGCCUCAUCCUGGUUUGCAUUUUACCCUUGGAUGAAGCUUGUGGUGAACCCCAGGGCUCUGUGUCUCCUGAGUCUCUGCAGACCUCGGGUCCUGGGCCCAGAGACUCUUCUCCCUGGGGCAGGAGGCACUGGGAUGUGUGGACGGGGGUGUCCUGGGGCACAGUAGCUGACGGAGGGACCUCCUAGCUUUCUGGGCCUUUCCGACCCUGAGUGUGACCUUCCUAUUCUUGAUCACAGCCCCAACCUGGGAGCCUGCUGGAACCUGCAGAAUGGGGCUUCAGCCUGUUCCUCUGUGAGAAAAGGUGGGCCUGGCAGUCCCACAAAUCUUGUGUGUUCACCUCGGUGGUGAAUACAUUCUUGGGUGGUGAAUACGUUCUCUCCUUGCCUUCACUCUGGAAAAGGCCCCUGUUUGGUGAUGCAGGAUGUGGUCAAUGACUGACUCGUUCUUCAGAGUGUCAAUAUCCCUCUGGACCGUAUACACAGCUCUGAUUUCUGGUGUUCCUGGGCUCUGCACACAGCAAGAGCCACUCUGGGCCUGUGAGAUGCAUCUUCUGGCUCACUUUCUUCUUGUUGGCUCUUUUCCCUGCAUCCUCUGCCACUGCUCUGUUCUGGGCAGGAGGCUCUCACCCUCUCCUGCCUCCCCUCUUUGAUCCUUUUCUGUGAGGGUCUGCUGGAGUCCUGUGUGUCGUGCAUCAUUGAUAGAUUCUGGUCGUGCUUGCUGUCCUCCCCAUUCUGAGGGACCUCUGAUUGCCUGUGAGCAGUUUACAGGGCCUCUCCUGGCCCCUUCACCCACAGCAUUCCUUCAACGGGUGAAUAUUUGUGAGGGGUGGAUCCUGGAAGUGACGUCAGGUGAGAAGGGAAAGUACAUUAACAAAGUACAUUAGCCCGGGGAGUUACUAACGCCCGAAAUGUAUUGUCAAAGUUCUGAAGGCUGAGAAGUCCAAGAUCAAUUGCCUGAGGAUUUAGUGCCUGGUGAGGACCCAUUCCUUAGGGCAGUGCCUCCAGCUGUGUCCUCAUGUGGCUGAAGGGGACAAGGGAGGUUGCUGGAGCCUGUUUGAUGAGAGCACUAAACCUCCUUCAGGAGGAGAUUAUUGAGAAUGUCCGUCUGGUUUCAGGGCAUUCCCAAAGGCCCCACCUGUUCUUUCUACCCCAUUGGGAAUUAGGCUUCAACAUAUAAAUCUGGGGGACACUGACAUUUAGGCCAUAGCACGUCAAAGACAAAGUGAGGUUGAGUGUGGAAAACAUCCCAGAAUCUGGAUGUGGCCCAGACAGAAGGAAACUCAAAGUGAUGGGGUGACCGAUGGUCCCUGGUGUGUGUAGGACUCAGCGGUGAGGAUGGCCCUGGGCACGGUGUCAGUGGCUGUUGGAGGAUGAUAGGGAACAUGUUGGCGGGGGGAGGGUGGAGCCCACUAUGAGUGGCAACUCCCUGGGGGUGCAGGAAGCAAAGCUACAGGCGACUCCCCUCUGCCCUCCCUGCACACAGUGUCACCUCUGUGGUGGCCCUGUCGUCCGCCUCAGUGCACAGGUGUUGCUGUAACAACUCCUGAAAUUACCUUCAAAAGGAGGGUUGUGCAGGUGCCUGCAGGAGACAGGAGGCCGCAGUGCAUCCUGAGUGUCCCGGGGACAGGCGAGCCUGGCAGGGGUCCACGGCCUCACAGUCCCAACGACUGCCUCAGAAACGGGCAGAGAGCAUGCUUGGUUCCAGCUUGCAGGGCCCACAUCUCAGAGCUGUGGACAGUCAUCAAGAGUCCAUGAGCAUGAAGAGGGGACAAAAAUGACCCAGGAACCUCAGGCCGCUGUGCUGCCAUCCAGCCACGUGCAGCAGCAGCCCUUCGGGCCUGAAGAUCCUUCUGCCCUUCUCUGGGCCUUGCUGAUUUCCUCCUCCAGCCCCGCAGUGUGUGCGCUCACACACACACGCACACACGCACACACAGUGCAAUUUCCCUCUGCUCCCCUGUGCUCCUCAAAAUUCACUGGGUUCCUCUUUCCUCCUCAGAGACAUAGUCCUGGGCCCCAUCUCAGCCUACAGAGGCCUGAACCUUUCCCAGGAUCGUUUUCUAAUUCUCAUGUCUUGCGCAAAACAAAACUAAAACUUCUAGUCUGGGUAUCUAAGCAUGUGAUGUGUAUGUUGUCUCAAACUGAAUACCUGUGAAACCACCACCUGUGCCAAAACCCAGUGUUUCCCAAGACCUAGAGGCUCUCUCCAGUCGCUAAUUGUGAUCACCUCUCCCGAUCACUGCUGAGCCCUGAAGGUCACCCUCUCCUGACCUAUUACACCGCUGACUGCUUACGCGGGGCACAAUUUUAUACCCUUGCUGUUGUUCCAUCUAAUCAUCCCCAUAACGCUAUGAGAUCAUCGUUCCCAUAUGACAGAGGAGAAAACUUGGGGACACAGGGGUUGUGUCCUGGCCAAGGCAUUGCUGGCAGCAAAAGGCAGAGCGGGCAUCCAGCCAGGAGCCCCAGCACAGUCCUGUUCUUCCCCCACUACACCGGGCUGUGAAACAGAUCAUGGCAGUUUGGAAAACGGGCUAACUGCAUGCUGUGGGAGGUGGUGACGGAUGCCCACUGCUUUUCAUGGGAAGGUGUGGUGUCUCCAUGUCCCCCUCAGGUCUAGCCUCGCUCUGUGGCUCAGAACCUUGGGAAAGUGGGAGGCUCAGAGCAGGAAAGGGACUUACUUGCCCAAGGGCCACAGCUGCUACAUGGCAGCUAAGGGAUCAUUAUUCUCCUGUCUCUUUCACAGAGGACAGGAGGAAAGUGAGGCCAGGUGGGUACAUGAGUUUAGCCUCUUUUCUGCAGAAGGCCCGGAUCAGCUUUGGACACAUUUGGUGCUGACCUCAAAUUCAGCCCUAGAGGGGCCUGUCUCUGCCCUGACUAUUGCGGUGCAGGCUUCUUCCCCUUUGUUCUGUCCGUUUCCAAAAAUGUGAACACACACCUCCUACAUGUUUGUGUAUAUUAUUGUGUGCAUAGAUAUUACCAUUGUAA